CACCAUGACUCUCAUCACCAUCCUCAUCUGGACACUGGCCUGCUGCUGCUUCACAGGAUGCAGUGGUCAGGUGACUGUGACUCAGCCUCCAGUAAAGACAUCUACUCCAGGAUCCACUGUCACUAUGACCUGUAAGACCAGCCAGGAUGUUGCAUGCAGUGGUAGCUGUAUGUACUGGUAUCAGCAGAAAUCUGGACAAACUCCAAAGCUCCUGAUACAUUCAGCCAGCUCACGUGCAUCAGGAACACCAGCUCGGUUUAGUGGCAGUGGAAGCUACUCUGACUUCUCUUUGACCAUCAGUGGAGUUCAGACUGAAGAUGCAGCAGUUUACUACUGUCAGAGUUACCACAGCGGUCCUGUGUGGACUUUUGGUGGAGGAACCAAACUCACCGUUGACUUGGGUGUGGUGCGUCCCACCCUGAGCGUCCUCCCCCCCUCCAGAGAGGAGCUGCAGCAGAGCAGUGCCACACUGGUGUGUCUGGCCAGCGGGGGCUUCCCCUCGACCUGGAGUCUGGGCUGGAAGGUGGGGGGCAGCAGCAGGUCCUCGGGGGUGUCCCGCAGCGUGGAGGUCCUGGGGGGGGACGGCCACUACAGCUGGAGCAGCUCCCUGAGUCUCACUGCAGACCAGUGGAGGAAGGCGUGCUCAGUGAGCUGUGAGGCCAGUCUGAAUGGACAGAGCCCUGUCACUCAAACCCUGGAGCCUGACCGCUGCUCAGAGUAGAGCUUCAGCAACACUUGUAUUUCAUAGUUUGCCAUAAAGUGUGCAUGCAGCUUUUUAAUUUAGAUUCGCUUAAAUUUCUGCUUCAUGUUCAAAAGUUUUCAAAUGAAAGUGAAUUUCAUUACGUUCAAACCAAGAGAGUUUAUUCUUCAGCGAAUGUGGGAAAAAUUUAACUAUCACUCAAUAAAACUGUAGACGAAAAUGA